CUCCGGGGCACUCCUGACGUUAUAACCACUACAGUGUUUGCUGUAGUGGUUAUGGUGCUUGGAGUGUUCCUUAA